rnacentral:rRNA from 1 species
UACGGAGGGUGCGAGCGUUGUCCGGAAUCACUGGGCGUAAAGGGCGCGUAGGCGGCGCGGGCAGUCAACGGUGAAAGCUCGGGGCUCAACCCCGAGUCGGCCGUCGAUACUCCCGUGCUCGAGCACUGUAGAGGCAGGUGGAAUUCCGGUGUAGCGGUGGAAUGCGUAGAGAUCCGGAAGAACACCGGUGGCGAAGGCGGCCUGCUGGGCAGUAGCUGACGCUGAUGCGCGACAGCGUGGGGAGCAAACAGG